GACGAACGCUGGCGGCGUGCUUAACACAUGCAAGUCGAACGAAAAGGCCCUGCUUUUGUGGGGUUCUCGAGUGGCGAACGGGUGAGUAACACGUGAGUAACCUGCCCUUGUCUUUGGGAUAACUUCAGGAAACUGGGGCUAAUACCGCAUAGGAGCUCCUGCUGCAUGGGGGGGGAUGGAAAGUUUCGGCGGUUGGGGCUGGACUCGCGGGUUAUCAGCUUGUUGGGGGGGUAGUGGCUUACCAAGGCUUUGACGGGUAGGCGGCCUGAGAGGGUGACCGGCCACCUUGGGACUGAGAUACGGCCCAGACUCCUACGGGAGGCAGCAGUGGGGAAUAUUGCGCAAUGGGCGGAAGCCUGAUGCAGCAACGCCGCGUGCGGGAUGACCGCCUUCUGGUUGUAAACCGCUUUCGCCUGUGACGAAGCGUGAGUGACGGUAAUGGGUAAAGAAGCACCGGCUAACUACGUG
rnacentral:rRNA from 1 species